CCAAUAGCGUAUAUUAAAGUUGUUGCAGUUAAAAAGCUCGUAGUUGAAUUUCGGAAUCAAUAUGUUGGUCGUGCCUUGGUACGUACUGGCAUUAUUGGUUUCUACCUUCUGAAGAACCUCGAUGUCAUUAAUUUGGUGUCUUGGGGAAUCAGGACUGUUACUUUGAAAAAAUUAGAGUGUUUAAAGCAAGCUCACGCUUGAAUACAUUAGCAUGGAAUAAUGAAAUAGGACGUUUGAUUCUAUUUUGUUGGUUUCUAGGAUCGACGUAAUGAUUAAUCGGGAUAGUUGGGUGCAUUAGUAUUCAAUUGUCAGAGGUGAAAUUCUUGGAUUUAUUGAAGACUAACUACUGCGAAAGCAUUUGCCAAGGAUGUUUUCAUUAAUCAAGAACGAAAGUUAGGGGAUCGAAGACGAUCAGAUACCGUCGUAGUCUUAACCAUAAGCUAUGCCGACUAGGGAUCGGAUGAUGUUAAUUUUUUAAUGACUCAUUCGGCGCCUUAC
rnacentral:rRNA from 1 species